UAAGCCUGUGAAGGUGUGUCGUGAGGCAUGCUGGAGGUAUCAGAAGUGCGAAUGCUGACAUAAGUAACGAUAAAGCGGGUGAAAAGCCCGCUCGCCGGAAGACCAAGGGUUCCUGUCCAACGUUAAUCGGGGCAGGGUGAGUCGACCCCUAAGGCGAGGCCGAAAGGCGUAGUCGAUGGGAAACGGGUUAAUAUUCCCGUACUUGGUGUUACUGCGAAGGGGGGACGGAGAAGGCUAUGUUGGCCGGGCGACGGUUGUCCCGGUUUAAGCGUGUAGGUGUGUGUUCCAGGUAAAUCCGGUUCACUUUAACACUGAGGCG
rnacentral:rRNA from 1 species